rnacentral:rRNA from 1 species
UACCUACGGGAGGCAGCAGUAGGGAAUCUUCCACAAUGGACGAAAGUCUGAUGGAGCAACGCCGCGUGAAGGAAGACGGUUUUCGGAUUGUAAACUUCUGUUCUUAGUGAAGAAGAAUGACGGUAGCUAAGGAGCAAGCCACGGCUAACUACGUGCCAGCAGCCGCGGUAAUACGUAGGUGGCAAGCGUUGUCCGGAUUUACUGGGUGUAAAGGGAGCGUAGACGGCGAUGCAAGUCUGAAGUGAAAGGCGGGGGCCCAACCCCCCGGACUGCUUUGGAAACUGUAUGGCUGGAGUGCAGGAGAG